rnacentral:rRNA from 1 species
UACGGAGGGGGCUAGCGUUGUUCGGAAUUACUGGGCGUAAAGCGCGCGUAGGCGGAUCUGCAAGUCGGGGGUGAAAUCCCGAGGCUCAACCUCGGAACUGCCUUCGAUACUGCGGGUCUCGAGUCCGGGAGAGGUGAGUGGAAUUCCUAGUGUAGAGGUGAAAUUCGUAGAUAUCGGGAGGAACACCGGUGGCGAAGGCGACCAUCUGGACGGAUACUGACGCUGAGACGCGAAAGCGUGGGUAGCAAACAGG